UGAGUAACACGUAUCCAACCUGCCGUCUACUCUUGGACAGCCUUCUGAAAGGAAGAUUAAUACAAGAUGGCAUCAUGAGUUCACAUAUUCACAUGAUUAAAGGUAUUCCGGUAGACGAUGGGGAUGCGUUCCAUUAGAUAGUAGGCGGGGUAACGGCCCACCUAGUCUUCGAUGGAUAGGGGUUCUGAGAGGAAGGUCCCCCACAUUGGAACUGAGACACGGUCCAA
rnacentral:rRNA from 1 species